rnacentral:rRNA from 1 species
UACAGAGGUCUCAAGCGUUGUUCGGAUUCAUUGGGCGUAAAGGGUGCGUAGGCGGCGCGGUAAGUCGGAUGUGAAAUCUCGGAGCUUAACUUCGAAACUGCAUUCGAUACUGCCGUGCUUGAGGACUGGAGAGGAGACUGGAAUUUACGGUGUAGCGGUGAAAUGCGUAGAUAUCGUAAGGAAGACCAGUGGCGAAGGCGGGUCUCUGGGCCGAAACUGACGCUGAGGAGCGAAAGCGUGGGGAGCAAACAGG